GAUGAACGCUGGCGGCGUGCCUAAUACAUGCAAGUCGAGCGAACAGACGAGGAGCUUGCUCCUCUGACGUUAGCGGCGGACGGGUGAGUAACACGUGGAUAACCUACCUAUAAGACUGGGAUAACUUCGGGAAACCGGAGCUAAUACCGGAUAAUAUAUUGAACCGCAUGGUUCAAUAGUGAAAGACGGUUUUGCUGUCACUUAUAGAUGGAUCCGCGCCGCAUUAGCUAGUUGGUAAGGUAACGGCUUACCAAGGCAACGAUGCGUAGCCGACCUGAGAGGGUGAUCGGCCGCACGGGAGCUGAGACACGGUCCAGACUCCUACGGGAGGCAGCAGUAGGGAAUCUUCCGCAAUGGGCGAAAGCUUGACGGAGCAACGCCGCGUGAGUGAUGAAGGUCUUCGGAUCGUAAAACUCUGUUAUUAGGGAAGAACAAAUGUGUAAGUAACUAUGCACGUCUUGACGGUACCUAAUCAGAAAGCCACGGCUAACUACGUG
rnacentral:rRNA from 1 species